rnacentral:lncRNA from 1 species
GUUGGUCUGAUUAAACUGAGACCAUUCUCUGACUUCCUAAGCUCUCAGACAACUUAGGAACCAAUACACACUGCACAUGUCUCUUUCUGAAAUGUUCUCCGCCUUAGUUUUUAUGAGAGAGUGAAAGCACAGUUCUGUAAUAUAUGAAGAAAUCUGUGGAUUCUGUAGAGACAGGAACAGCGUGACAUAAAUCUCAGGAAGGCAUCUUAUUUCACAAAUUUCCCAUUUGAUUCCUGCUAUUGUGUGAGGCUGGGCUCUUCAUCUCUAUCAAAAUCAGUCUGGAAGCCUUCUGAGAUUGCCUCUAGAAAAGCCAAUACUCCCGCGGAUUGGACCACAGAUGCUAUAACCAAACUGAGAAUCAGAAACGCUAAGUAACUUGCCCAAGAAUGCAUAGUAAUAAAAGCCUACUUACCUGUGGUGACCCUGGAUUCUGUACAACUGAUUUGUUGAUACAGAAGAGAGUCAUGCAAACUACAGAAAUCCACCCAAAACCGAGAGAAGGAGAGUAUCUGUUUUCAGAGGAGCUGUCUGCUUUGGGAGGAAGUUCCAGAAGUGAGCCUCAGGAAUUACAACAUUAAUUGAGAAACUGAAUGAUUAAAAUUGUAGUAACAAAUAGCUUUCCUUGGAACUGUCCCAGAAUCUAUUAUUUUUUUUUCCUUUUCUGUCAUUAACAAAAACACCAACAAAAAUCAUCAUGUGUGAAAGAGGUACUAUAAUAAAAACCCUAGCAGUGUCUACUGCGUGCUUCGUGCAAGGUAUCCAUGAUGGUCUUAACUCACCACAGAAGAACUUGGGGGAGUGUGGUCAAUGCCAGGGGUUCACGGGGAAAAAUGAAGUUGUCCACAGGUUGACCUCCUUUUUGCACCACUGGGAAUUACUCUUUGCAUAAGAAAAUACUGCCUAUUGGAAAUGGGAGGUGAAAUUACACAUUGGACAAAUGGGGCAGAAAUUGACCCAGAGGUUUUUAUUUUUCUGUGUUGCUCCUUGUCCCUAAAUACACUGAAAAUUCUUGACAUUCAUACAGUAUUUUCUCUUUCAUCCAAGCACCCAGUUCACUGGUGAUGCACAGGAAAGAAUUGUUGAUGUUCUUUGGGCUUGUGUGGGAACUAAGGUGAUAGAUACUUGUAUUUAAUGAAUGAUGAGUCUGUGGCAAAUGCCUUGGAAAGUGCUACAUAUACAUCACCUAUUUAAUCCUCAGAACCAUUCUCUGGGGUCAAAAUUAUUGGUCCCAAUUUACAGCUGGGAAUGUCG